GACAGUUGCUAUUCUUUGUAAUGGCAGAGGUCAAAACAACGUGGGAGUCUCUUCUGCUGGUAAACUGAGUUUCAGUGAAGUGGAAAAAUAAUAACGCAUCAGCACGAGUGAUAUUUAGUAUCCUUAACCCUGAGGUUCUGGUGUGUAAAAUGUCAUUUGUCUUAAAUAUAUUUUUUUCAGCAAAUUGUGUUUCCUUGCCUCAGCUUUUAAAAUGCAAUACAUCUUCAGUGUUCCCAAAUAGCAGUCCUGUACCUGUGAGUCAGUGACUGUGGGAUUGCAGGUCUCACCCCCGUGCCGUGUUGCUGCUCCUCUCACAGAGUUAAGAGAUCCCUUGAUGGAGAUGUCAUUCCUUCACCCUCUGGAGAAGUGAACCCUCCUCCUGCUUUUUGGUUCCAACAGUUGGGAUGCAUGCAUGGACCAGUCAUGGAAAUAGCAAUUUCUGUCUAUGGCUUUGUUUCAGACAUGAAAGUGCAGCGUAAUGGGCUGCGUGCUUUAAUGAUGUGCUGAGAGUAGCAGAAUGGAAGAGGUUUUGUUUGUCCCCUGCUGUCAUUUCCCGCUGUGCCAACUAUCAGGCACUUAAUCACCAUGGUAUCCUGUACAUGAGGCAGUGUUAAUGCCUGUGGGACACGUGGGCUUGAAAGGACCUGUAGGCCAUAUCUUCAGUGUGAGCAGAGUAAACCCACCACUUUCAGUCCAGGGAAUCUGCUUAUGUUGCCUGAGGACCUGUCCCAGGGCUCCUCUCGAAGCCGAGUUGUCUGCUAUUUCUGUAAAUAAUGCACUUGGGCAAGCUUGUGCUAGAGAAAAAUGCUGACUUGGCAAGUACAGUGCUGAAAGUAUUUUUCUGCUGCUAUACACAACUGCGGGAUGCGUUGGCCUUGUCUCCACAGAAAUGUCUUCUGACUGCACUGGAAAGUCUGCACUGUAAUUUAGGCUCAGUGAUUAUCUGAGCUCUGCUUUCUAGUGAUAAAGCACAUCUCUCCCCUUAAGUUGUGUUGAUCUUAUGAUGUGCAUUCACAUCACAUUAAAUAAAUUAAAAAAAAAAAAAGUUGCA
rnacentral:lncRNA from 1 species